rnacentral:tRNA from 1 species
CGAGGCAUAGCUCAACUAGCAAAGCAUCUCCCUUACACUGAGAAGACACCCGUGCAAAACAGGUUGCCCCGA